UAUUUAGUUGUUGCAGUUAAAAGCUCGUAGUUGAAUUUCUGGGAGUACAACGAUAGGCUGCGCCCUUGUCCGACCACUCGACAGUUCAUCCUUCUCCUCGUCGAGGAGUCGUUUAUUGUGAACACAUUAUAGUGUUGAAAGCAUGCUUUAAGCUUGAAUGACAUUAGCAUGGAAUACAUCGUAUGAUAAGACCAAGUCGUAUUUUGUUGGUUGCACUCACUGUCCUAUGACUAAGAUGUACAGUAUGGGGGUAUUCAUAUUUAAUUGCCAUAGGUGAAAUUCUUAUAUUUAUUGAAGAAGAACUACUGCUAGAACAUUUACCAGAGAUGUUUUCAUUAAUCCAUAACGAAAGUCUGGUGACUCUAAACGAUAAGAUACCCUCGGUAGCUCUUGACAAUAAACUAUGCCUACUCAGGAUUGGCACCCUUUAUUAACACGAUGUCAUUCACUGUAUGAAAAAUCAAAAUCUUUGCAGUUCCUGUGGGAGUAUGGUCGCUAGGGUGAUACCAAGGAAAUUUUCCUCGCAAGGCUGAACUCA
rnacentral:rRNA from 1 species